UGCCUUGCCCACCAGAAGCACGAUCCCUACAACAGUUACAAUAAAGUCGACUGAUAUAGACAGUUCCAAACAUGAAAAAUCCAGAGAAUCCUACACUCCUGAAGAUGUAUCUGGAAGAACAGAAGUAAUCUUAAAUACUAUGGCCAUGGUUUUAAAUAAAGAUACACAAGUAGAUACGGCUGCUAUUGCUGGAAGCGCUGUGGGGUGUAUUCUUCUGAUCAUAUUAGUAAUUAUAGUUGCCGUCAUACUAAAACGAAGAAUGAUUGGGGCUUUGAUCGACAGUCGCUUGAAAGGCAGUCCAAGAGUGUCCAAUCCAGUAUACGAAGCACCUGGCGAUGGUUACAAUAAUGUUAUUUUCAAGAACGAUAAUUCUCCAUCUGUAAACGUGAUUAAA